AUGAACGCUGGCGGCGUGCCUAAUACCUGCAAGUCGAGCGAACGGACGAGAAGCUUGCUUCUCUGAUGUUAGCGGCGGACGGGUGAGUAACACGUGGAUAACCUACCUAUAAGACUGGGAUAACUUCGGGAAACCGGAGCUAAUACCGGAUAAUAUUUUGAACCGCAUGGUUCAAAAGUGAAAGACGGUCUUGCUGUCACUUAUAGAUGGAUCCGCGCUGCCUUAGCUAGUUGGUAAGGUAACGGCUUACCAAGGCAACGAUGCAUAGCCGACCUGAGAGGGUGAUCGGCCACACUGGAACUGAGACACGGUCCAGACUCCUACGGGAGGCAGCAGUAGGGAAUCUCCCGCAACGGGCGAAAGCCUGACGGAGCAACGCCGCGUGAGUGAUGAAGGUCUUCGGAUCGUAAAACUCUGUUAUUAGGGAAGAACAUAUGUGUAAGUAACUGUGCACAUCUGGACGGUACCUAAUCAGAAAGCCACGGCUAACUACGUG
rnacentral:rRNA from 1 species